rnacentral:rRNA from 1 species
GACGAACGCUGGCGGCGUGCUUAACACAUGCAAGUCGAACGAGACGAUUGAAAGCUUGCUUUCGAAAGUCGAGUGGCAAACGGGUGAGUAACGCGUAGACAACCUGCCUUUGAGAUGGGGACAACAGUUCGAAAGGACUGCUAAUACCGAAUGUUGUAUAUUUUCCACAUGGAAGAUAUAUUAAAGAUGGCCUCUAUUUAUAAGCUAUCGCUCAAAGAUGGGUCUGCGUCUGAUUAGCUGGUUGGUGGGGUAACGGCCUACCAAGGCGACGAUCAGUGGCCGUGCUGAGAGGAUGAACGGACACAUUGGGACAGAGAAACGGCCCAGAAUCCUACGGGAGGCAGCAGUGGGGAAUCUACCACAAUGGACAAAAGCCUGAUGGGGCAACGACGCGGGAGUGAAGAAGGGUUUCGGCUCGUAAAGCUCUGUUGUCGGGGACGAAUGUGCAGUAUUUGAAUAAAGUACUGCAAUGACGGUACCUGACGAGGAAGCCACGGCUAACUACGUGCCAGCCGCCGCCGUAA